AGCAACCGGUUGCAGCUCAUUGAGUGCCUAGUAAUAGGUAUGCUUUAGGAGGGGCUUGCGCCAUAUUAGUUAGUUGGUAGGGUAAUGGCCUACCAAGACGAUGAUGUGUAGCUGGACUGAGAGGUUGAACAGCCACAUUGGGACUGAGACACGGCCCAAACUCCUACGGGAGGCAGCAGUAGGGAAUUUUCGGCAAUGGAGGAAACUCUGACCGAGCAACGCCGCGUGAAUGACGAAGUACUUCGGUAUGUAAAGUUCUUUUAUCAAGGAAGAAAAGCAAAUGGCGAACCAUUUGUUUGCCGGUACUUGAUGAAUAAGCCCCGGCUAAUUAUGUGCCAGCAGCCGCGGUAAGACAUAAGGGGCAAGUGUUAUCCGGAAUUAUUGGGCGUAAAGGGUGCGUAGGCGGUCUAGUAAGUCAGUGGUGUAAUGGCAACGCUUAACGUUGUCCGGCUAUUGAAACUGCUAAACUUGAGUUAGAUAGAGGCGAGUGGAAUUCCAUGUGUAGCGGUAAAAUGCGUAAAUAUAUGGAGGAACACCAGAGGCGUAGGCGGCUCGCUGGGUCUUAACUGACGCUGAGGCACGAAAGCGUGGGGAGCAAACAGGAUUAGAUACCCUGGUAGUCCACGCCGUAAACGAUGAGUACUAAGUGUCGGGUUAAACCGGUACUGAAGUUAACACAUUAAGUACUCCGCCUGAGUAGUACGUACGCAAGUAUGAAACUUAAAGGAAUUGACGGGACUCCGCACAAGCGGUGGAUCAUGUUGUUUAAUUCGAAGAUACCCGAAAAACCUUACCAGGUCUUGACAUGUUUUUGCAAAAUGAUAGUAAUAUCGUGGAGGUUACCAGAAACACAGGUGGUGCAUGGUUGUCGUCAGCUCGUGUCGUGAGAUGUUAGGUUAAGUCCUAAAACGAGCGAAACCCUUAUCGUUAGUUGCCAGCACGUUAUGGUGGGGACUUUAACGAGACUGCCAAUGAUAAAUUGGAGGAAGGUGAGGAUCACGUCAAAUCAGCAUGCCCCUUAUGACCUGGGCUACAAACGUGAUACAAUGGCUGUUACAAAGGGUAGCUGAAACGCAAGUUCUUGGCCAAUCCCCAAAAACAGUCCCAGUCCGGAUUGAAGUCUGCAACUCGACUUCAUGAAGUUGGAAUCGCUAGUAAUCGCGAAUCAGCAUGUCGCGGUAAAU
rnacentral:rRNA from 1 species